GCCCGGGUGGCGGAAUUGGUAGACGCACUAGUUUCAGGGACUAGCGAGAGCAAUCUUGUGCAGGUUCGAGUCCUGUUCCG
rnacentral:tRNA from 1 species